UACGUAGGGGGCAAGCGUUGUCCGGAUUUAUUGGGCGUAAAGAGCGUGUAGGCGGCCAGGUAGGUCUGCUGUGAAAACUCGAGGCUCAACCUCGAGAUGUCGGCGGAAACCAUCUGGCUAGAGUCCGGAAGAGGAGAGUGGAAUUCCUGGUGUAGCGGUGAAAUGCGCAGAUAUCAGGAAGAACACCCGUGGCGAAGGCGGUUCUCUGGUACGUGACUGACGCUGAGACGCGAAAGCGUGGGGAGCGAACAGG
rnacentral:rRNA from 1 species